rnacentral:rRNA from 1 species
UACGAAGGGUGCAAGCGUUACGCGGAAUUACUGGGCGUAAAGCGUGUGUAGGUGGUUCGUUAAGUCUGAUGUGAAAGCCCCGGGCUCAACCUGGGAAUGGCAUUUGGGACUGCAAGGCUUGAGUGCGGCAGAGGAGACUGGAAUUCCUGGUGUAGCAGUGAAAUGCGUAGAUAUCAGGAGGAACACCUGCGGCGAAGGCGGGUUGCUGGGCCGACACUGACGCUGAUGCGCGAAAGCUAGGGGAGCGAACGGG